GAAAUGCGAUAAGUAAUGCGAAUUGCAGAAUUUCCGUGAGUCAUCGAAUCUUUGAACGCACAUUGCGCCCAUUGGUAUUCCGAUGGGCAUGCCUGUUCGAGCGUCAUUAUCUUCCCUCAAACCUCGGGUUUGGUGUUGGGCCGUGCUAGUCCCAUCCGUGACCAACUGGCCUCAAAGACAAUGGCGGCGUCCGUGGGACCCUCGGUGCAACGAGCUUCCUCAGGAGCACGCGCCGAGUUUCAAGGACCUUCCGGGCCGGUCACACCUCAUGUCAUCUUCAAAGGUUGACCUCGGAUCAGGUAGGGAUACCCGCUGAACUUAAGC
rnacentral:misc_RNA from 1 species